GACGAACGCUGGCGGCGUGCCUAAUACAUGCAAGUCGAGCGAACUGAUUAGAAGCUUGCUUCUAUGACGUUAGCGGCGGACGGGUGAGUAACACGUGGGCAACCUGCCUGUAAGACUGGGAUAACUUCGGGAAACCGAAGCUAAUACCGGAUAGGAUCUUCUCCUUCAUGGGAGAUGAUUGAAAGAUGGUUUCGGCUACCACUUACAGAUGGGCCCGCGGUGCAUUAGCUAGUUGGUGAGGUAACGGCUCACCAAGGCAACGAUGCAUAGCCGACCUGAGAGGGUGAUCGGCCACACUGGGACUGGGACACGGCCCAGACUCCUACGGGAGGCAGCAGUAGGGAAUCUUCCGCAAUGGACGAAAGUCUGACGGAGCAACGCCGCGUGAGUGAUGAAGGCUUUCGGGUCGUAAAACUCUGUUGUUAGGGAAGAACAAGUACGAGAGUAACUGCUCGUACCUUGACGGUACCUAACCAGAAAGCCACGGCUAACUACGUGCCAGCCGCCGCCGUAA
rnacentral:rRNA from 1 species